UUAAAAUUUAUUGUACACACUCAUAUAUGAGUAAACCUCAUGAAAAUAGUCAACUUUCCUGAUUCUACCAUAGUAUGGUGUUUCUUAAGGUAGCACUAUACAGUUUUGAGCCUUAGUGUCGAAUUGGCAGGGGAGAAAUUUCUAAUAAAUAGGGAUACAAUAAAACUGAGCAGCAAUAAUAGUGUUUUACAAGUUUAAAGUAUCAGAUUUGAGUGGUGGUGGUUUGAAAUGCAUGCUUAGUGAAUUCGAAAAUGUGUCCAGUGCCUAGCCAGUGUGUCUGCUGAGCAGUCAAGGUCAUGAGAUACGUACAUGCUGGUUUCUAGCUCCGAAGGCUAAUUUUGCAUGAAUUUUAAAGGUGCCUCCACUCAACUGAAUUUCUGCAAAAAACCGCGUGGAUGACCCUAGGAUUCUUCGGUGUCGGUCAAAUAUCUGGUUAGUGAUGCAGUAAAGCAGAAAGUGUUUAAUGAACUGGCAUUUGCAGUUUAGUGGUAAAUUUGUGUUGAAAAUCACAGAAAUGGCCUCGAAAACAGGUGACAUUCAGACCCCUAAAUUGGCUGAAUUUCCAUGAUAAAAAUAUACAGCAAGUGGGUGCACCAUGGCUAUCCAUGUAUUUUCUGGAAGACAUACCCCCAACAAUACUGAAGAUAUGUUUUGUAUGAUUUCAGGUGUAGACGUUGUGUUAGCUGUGAGGACGGACAGUGCCCCCACCCCGGCAGCCAGUAGCCGAUUUGUGAAAAACUGUAGUGUGCCCCCUUAAGGUGUAGACGUUGUGUUAGCUGUGAGGACGGACAGUGCCCCCACCCCGGCAGCCAGUAGCCGAUUUGUGAAAAACUGUAGUGUGCCCCCUUAAGGUGUAGACGUUGUGUUAGCUGUGAGGACGGACAGUGCCCCCACCCCGGCAGCCAGUAGCCGAUUUGUGAAAAACUGUAGUGUGCCCCCUUAAGGUGUAGACGUUGUGUUAGCUGUGAGGACGGACAGUGCCCCCACCCCGGCAGCCAGUAGCCGAUUUGUGAAAAACUGUAGUGUGCCCCCUUAAGGUGUAGACGUUGUGUUAGCUGUGAGGACGGACAGUGCCCCCACCCCGGCAGCCAGUAGCCGAUUUGUGAAAAACUGUAGUGUGCCCCCAAAGCACAUGCGGCAGUUGGAUAGCCUCGGCCAACUUCGUAGAUAUACGUUGUUAAAUAUAUAAAUCCGAAGUAUUCCGAUUCACCCGACAACAGCAAUCUCCAAUCUCUUGCACGACGGUUACAUUACAUUCACCUCUGUGUUGGGCUCAGAACGGACUAUUGUUAUGAAAGCGUCUCAUUUAUGUCAUGAUCAUUCCAAGCGUUCAUCAUUGAGGUUACAUAAUACUAAACAAUCUCUUGCACGACAGUUACAUUGCAUUCACUGCAUUAAAGAAAACCAUUUCAUACCAUGAUAUCUU